CCAUGAUGAUAAAUGAUGAAUAAUUCUGUUUCAAUUUUGCAUUACCUUUAUCUAUAAAUCUCAUUUAUAUGAUUACUGCUACGUAACUGAUUAAUGACUUUAUUCUUGUAACUA
rnacentral:lncRNA from 1 species